rnacentral:rRNA from 1 species
GGCCUACCACGGCGACGACCGGUAGCCGGCCUGAGAGGGUGUCCGGCCACACUGGGACUGAUAUACGGCCCAGAGUCCUACGGGAGGCAGCACUGGGGUAUAUUGCGCAUUGGGCGCAAGCCUGAUGCAGCGACGCCGCGUGGGGGAUGACGGCCUUCGGGUUGUAAACCUCUUUCACCAUCGACGAAGGUCCGGGUUUUCUCGGAUUGACGGUAGGUGGAGAAGAAGCACCGGCCAACUACGUGCCAGCAGCCGCGGUAAUACGUAGGGUGCGAGCGUUGUCCGGAAUUACUGGGCGUAAAGAGCUCGUAGGUGGUUUGUCGCGUUGUUCGUGAAAUCUCACGGCUUAACUGUGAGCGUGCGGGCGAUACGGGCAGACUAGAGUACUGCAGGGGAGAUUGGAAUUCCUAGUGUAUCGGCGGAAUGCGCAGAUAUCAGGACGAACUCCGGUGGAGAAGGCGGGUCUCUGGGCAGUAACUGACGCUGAGGAGCGAAAGCGUGGGGAGCGAACAGGAUUAGAUACCCUGGUAGUCCCCGCCGUAAACGGUGGGUACUAGGUGUGGGUUUCCUUCCUUGGGAUCCGUCCCGUAGAUAACG